AACUGCCUAUCGCGCGAUCGCGGCAUCACGCACUCUCCGACUCGGCUCGCGGCCGGCAAUCAGCGACUUGCCGUCGCCCAUCUCUCACGCUUGUGCGCCGUCGCAGCCGCAACACAACCUCAUCACCCAUUGUGUAAUUUCAGCGUUCUAAUUCACAUCAAGUUGUAGGUUCGAUUGUUAGACAAUGUGUCAAUGUUCUCUUUUGUGACUAGGAACAAGAUCUCAACUCACUGGUGCGGCCAUGGGGUGGCCGUCUACGGUGCCUGGUUUGGCUCCUAUACGGCUCGUCGAUCUCUCAGACCGGUCAACGAUGACGGAGUGGUAGCAGGGCCCAAGGGAGAAGCGGCUCAAGGGGGGGAAGCGAGCUCGUCGAUCUGGACGACGCCAUUGCCGUCGGCGUCUAUCCAGGUGAUGUGGGUGUGGAUCUUGUCUCCCGCAGACAGGUUGGAUCCACCUUGAUUGUGAGAUGCUGACGGCGUUGUUUUCGAUCGCAUCGUGGCUGCCCCCGAGCGAGGCAGCCCGGCAGGUCAUCUUCAUCCUGGACUGGCAGCCUGAUUUCGGCAGCUCAUUCUUCCACUUGCAGGUCCCCCUUCUGUCUUUUCCUACCCCACUCAUGUUUUUGUUUCUUAUCCUUUUUCUGCAUGUGUAUGGGUAAACCAAUAUUAUGCGAUUAAGGUGUUGCUUGUUAGGAUGUAUAUCUGUUUAUGCUCCCCUGCCCCGUUCAUAUUCAACAAAUUUAGUAAGUAAUUAGUGUAUUCGUGAUUAGCCAUGUCUUACUAUUUAGUACUACCAAAGAUAAAGUUUUUAGGAAAAUAGGUGCGAUUGCAUCCUACAUAUGAACUAAAACGAUGCGUGGAUGUUAUCACUAUUGGCUUGUACUACUAUAGAAUAACCUUAAAAUAUCAGAUAACACAAAGUGUCGACAUUUGGCAUUAUCCAGCUAUUUCCACCAAAUGUUGAUGCAUGUUUCCAAUACUUCUAUGAGUAGUAGACCAUAUCCAUUCUGCUAUAUAAUGCUAGCAUAGAAAAGUCAGUUUUUUAUUUUGAAGAUAGUUUUGCAGUGUACUAUUUUUUCAUCUACUUAUGUUUAUCUAAAUAAAAGGCUAGUAGCAUCUGGAAGUUUGUUUUUGUUCCUACCUUUAGAAUAUUUUUGUGUAGGCUAUGUUCUUGACCACAUCAUCCUUGUUGUUAGUUCAUUUGCUAUAGAAAAGAAAAUAACAGGUAUGAUCAAGUUAGUAGGCUAUUACUGGCAAGUGUUUUCCCAAAGUAUCUCCUUUUUCUUAUGUCCCUCAUGAACUCAUUGAGCUUUAUGUGGAACAUUCGAUCAACAAUAUCAGGUUUCUGUGAUGUUCUUUGGCCUACUUCCAUAAGCAUAGAUUGAAUAUCCGGCCAAGCUGUGUUGCACGUGAAUGCCACAAAUAGGUCUGUGUAUCAAGCCCAUCGACAUCUUGCUAUAGCAUCUUGGUAGUUUUGUGCUUGUAUCUGAGGUUAUCUAUGAAGCUGGAUGGCAGUAGUAUUCUCCUUCCUACCUCGUCAGCCCUUGUAUCUCCUCUUUAUGUUGCGUCUUGCAAGUCAGCAUAUAAUUCUGCUCUUAUGUUUCCUUGAUGUUUUUUGGUCCAGUCUAGUCUGUACUACAAAAUGCAUGCAAGGGCAUCCACAUUGAACUUCCGAAGUUGCUCGUUCGUUGAGGUUCUUCUCGCCUUGUAUGCAUGUCCCAACGCCCUUCUAAAGUUGCUCUUUCUUCAUACCAGAAAAUUGCACCAUACCAUUCACAUUUGCGUCUUGGACUUCCGAAGUUCCAAAUUUCCAUAUCUGUCCUUUUCGAUGUCCUGUUUAAGUUUCUGAAUUUAGCAUCAAUUUGAAUAUUAGUAUGUUCUUUUUUCCUACUAAUACAACAAACUUAAUAGAACUGACAUAUCUGGUUAUUCUGCCCUUGAUUUUUUCUAUUGCACACUUUGUGUUACUUUUAGUCAUGUACACACGCUUAACAGAAUUACCAGGUUCAUGAAUGUCCAAAUUGUAGAUCUUAAUUGAAUUUUCUUGCUACUUACCUCGUAGUUUUACCACCUAUUCUUUCCUGUGGCAGUUCAACAAUGCUGAUUUUGCCUCAGUCAAUGCACAUGAUUGACAUCUGUACAUGAUAUGGUUCCCUGUGGUAAUUCAACAAUGCUGAUUUUGCCUCCGUCUUGAUUAAGCCAUGUUGCAUGGAAAUGUGUUUUCAUGUUUAAAAAAAAAGCUGAUAGGUACAAUCAGGAACAAAUGCAACAUGUUUUUGUGAUUUAAUAUAGCACUUGGAAGGAAUGGAACACAUAGAUAUCACAAUUGAUGCGCAAAGACGAAGCAAGCUAUAAUGAUGCUUCCAGUAUACCAUACUACAGUCGUGCAACAUGUAAGGGAAGUUUAGCAAUUGAAUUAAGAACAGUAAGUUAAGAUAGUGGAUGAUAAUACACAUAAGAAUACCUUUGUGAUGAUUUGCUUAUGGCACGCGGUUGGCAUAUUUGUGCAGUCUGGCACAUCUCCAUGUAUGAUCGAACGCUGUCUCUUGUUGUUGUCUUGAAGUUUCAUUCUCCUUUCCUAAUCCUAUCUUGUUAUUAUUGAUUGUCUGGAUUCACAUCAAUAUUAUAAUAUAUUUUUCCAUGCUUAAAUCAAUUAUGAACACAAAUGUGCCUAACUGGAAUUGUUGCAUUAUAUAAUUUAGGUGUAACAUUUUUGUGAUAUCGCUUAUUAAAAGUGCAUGAUUAGCAACGGAUCACCUUGUUGGAUUGUAUAUUUGAUUGCUUUUAACUACCUUGGCAAGUUUCUCACAUUAUUGCAAUGUGGUCCACCUUUUAUUUUCAUCGUUUCUUCCUGCACAAUAUAGAAAACAUGUGUUAGAGAAGGUGAUAUUGUAAAAUUGGUACCGAGUACUGCUGAAGGUUAUGGAGAUCUAUGAUUUUGAUUAAUUAUUCGUCUUACAAUUUUUUGUUUUGUUGUAGAAGUAAGGGAGAUCAACUUCCAAGAUCAGUGAUUGUGGUGAAAGCUUUAAUGUUAAAGUGGAUGUUAAGUUUCAAUCAUCAUGAUGAAGACACAUAUUUGUGAGGGUCUUUUACCCUUCUGUUGUUUUUAGAUGAUAGUCUAUAUGAAACCAUAUAUGGGUGAAGAAUUAGAUUGUAAUUGAGGAUGGCAAGUUCAUGCACAAUUACGAUUGAAGAAUCGCAAGGGAACUUGCCUGGUCUAAAUUUGAAAGCUAUUUGAUUAUGUACCUUGAGUUGAAA